rnacentral:rRNA from 1 species
AGCAGCCGCGGUAAUUCCAGCUCCAAUAGCGUAUAUUAAAGUUGUUGCAGUUAAAAAGCUCGUAGUUGAACUUCAGGCCUGUCCAGAUGGUCCGCCUUAAUUGGUGUGUACUGUCCUUGGGUGGGUCCUACCUUCUGGCGAAGCGGCAUGGCCUUAAUUGGUUGUGUUGGGGAACCAGGACUUUUACUGUGAAAAAUUAGAGUGUUCAAAGCAGGCAUAUAUGCUCGAAUACAUUAGCAUGGAAUAAUGGAAUAGGACGAUGGUUCUAUUUUGUUGGUUCUAGGACCGUUGUAAUGAUUAAUAGGGAUAGUUGGGGGCAUUAGUAUUCAAUUGUCAGAGGUGAAAUUCUUGGAUUUAUUGAAGACUAACUACUGCGAAAGCAUUUGCCAAGGAUGUUUUCAUUAAUCAAGAACGAAAGUUAGGGGAUCGAAGACGAUCAGAUACCGUCGU